UAAACCAUGCACCGAAGCUGCGGCAGCGAACGUAUCACUUAAAGCGAUUCAGCGGGUUACGAUUGACGGAGCGAAGCGACGUCAAAGCGUAUACAAAGUCGAGUCGGUUUAAGGAUACGUUCGUUGGGUAGGGGAGCGUUCUGUAAGCCUGUGAAGGUGGCCUGUGAGGGUUGCUGGAGGUAUCAGAAGUGCGAAUGCUGACAUAAGUAACGAUAAAGCGGGUGAAAAGCCCGAUCGCCGGAAGACCAAGGGUUCCUGUCCAAAGUUAAACGGAAGACCAAGGGUUCCUGUCCAACGUUAAUCGGGGCAGGGUGAGUCGACCCCUAAGGCGAGGCCGAAAGGCGUAGUCGAUGGGAAACGGGUUAAUAUUCCCGUACUUGGUGUUACUGCGAAGGGGGGACGGAGAAGGCUAUGUUGGCCGGGCGACGGUUGUCCCGGUUUAAGCGUGUAGGUGUGUGUUCCAGGUAAAUCCGGUUCACUUUAACACUGAGGCGUGAUGACGAGGCACUACGGUGCUGAAGCAACAAAUGCCCUGCUUCCAGGAAAAGCCUCUAAGCAUCAGGUAACAUCAAAUCGUACCCCAAACCGACACAGGUGGUCAGGUAGAGAAUACCAAGGCGCUUGAGAGAACUCGGGUGAAGGAACUAGGCAAAAUGGUGCCGUAACUUCGGGAGAAGGCACGCUGACACGUAGGUGAAGUGAUUUACUCAUGGAGCUGAAGUCAGUCGAAGAUACCAGCUGGCUGCAACUGUUUAUUAAAAACACAGCACUGUGCAAACACGAAAGUGGACGUAUACGGUGUGACGCCUGCCCGGUGCCGGAAGGUUAAUUGAUGGGGUCAGCGCAAGCGAAGCUCCUGAUCGAAGCCCCGGUAAACGGCGGCCGUAACUAUAACGGUCCUAAGGUAGCGAAAUUCCUUGUCGGGUAAGUUCCGACCUGCACGAAUGGCGUAAUGAUGGCCAGGCUGUCUCCACCCGAGACUCAGUGAAAUUGAACUCGCUGUGAAGAUGCAGUGUACCCGCGGCAAGACGGAAAGACCCCGUGAACCUUUACUAUAGCUUGACACUGAACAUUGAGCCUUGAUGUGUAGGAUAGGUGGGAGGCUUUGAAGUGUGGACGCCAGUCUGCAUGGAGCCGACCUUGAAAUACCACCCUUUAAUGUUUGAUGUUCUAACGUGGACCCGUAAUCCGGGUUGCGGACAGUGUCUGGUGGGUAG
rnacentral:rRNA from 1 species